AACAAACGCUGGCGGCGUGUCUAAUACAUGCAAGUCGAACGGGGAAAGCUUUCGGGUGAGUACUAGUGGCGCACGGGUGAGUAACGCGUGGAUAAUCUGCCUUAGAGUGGGGGAUAACUAGUCGAAAGAUUAGCUAAUACCGCAUAAGACCACAAGAACUGCGGUUCAAGGGGUCAAAGGUUUUUCGCUCUAAGAUGAGUCCGCGUAAGAUUAGCUAGUGGGUAGGGUAACGGCCUACCAAGGCGACGAUCUUUAACUGGUCUGAGAGGAUGAUCAGUCACACUGGAACUGAGACACGGUCCAGACUCCUACGGGAGGCAGCAGUAGGGAAUAUUGCACAAUGGAGGAAACUCUGAUGCAGCGACGCCGCGUGAGUGAUGAAGGCCUUCGGGUCGUAAAGCUCUGUCGCAGGGGAAUAACACAAUGAAGGUACCCUGUAAGAAAGGAUCGGCUAACUUCGUGCCAGCCGCCGCAGUAACAC
rnacentral:rRNA from 1 species